UGGGGGAUAUUGCACAAUGGGGGGAAAACCCUGAUGCAGCGACGCCGCGUGGAGGAAGAAGGUUUUCGGAUUGUAAACUCCUGUCGUUAGGGACGAUAAUGACGGUACCUAACAAGAAAGCAUCGGCUAACUCCGUGCCAGCAGCCGCGGUAAUACGGAGGAUGCGAGCGUUAUCCGGAUUUAUUGGGUUUAAAGGGUGCGCAGGCGGCGCGCCAAGUCAGCGGUCAAAGUUCCGGGCUCAACCCGGUGUCGCCGUUGAAACUGGCGUGCUCGAGUGCGUGCGAGGAAGGCGGAAUGCGUUGUGUAGCGGUGAAAUGCAUAGAUAUGACGCAGAACUCCGAUUGCGAAGGCAGCUUUCCAGCGCGCUACUGAC
rnacentral:rRNA from 1 species